rnacentral:lncRNA from 1 species
UAUUAUUUUUGUUGUUGCUAAUCUGCUUUCUUAUGGACACCUCUACCAGAUCCGCCGCCACUGCGAAGCCCAGCUCCUGAGUGCUUUAAAGGUGAGCAAGAAAGAAGAACAGGGGUGUGGUGCUUUGGUACUGAUAUUGCUUUGCAUCUGCGCUGACUAGAAAAUGUGNNNNNNNNNNNNNNNNNNNNNNNNNNNNNNNNNNNNNNNNNNNNNNNNNNNNNNNNNNNNNNNNNNNNNNNNNNNNNNNNNNNNNNNNNNNNNNNNNNNNNNNNNNNNNNNNNNNNNNNNNNNNNNNNNNNNNNNNNNNNNNNNNNNNNNNNNNNNNNNNNNNNNNNNNNNNNNNNNNNNNNNNNNNNNNNNNNNNNNNNNNNNNNNNNNNNNNNNNNNNNNNNNNNNNNNNNNNNNNNNNNNNNNNNNNNNNNNNNNNNNNNNNNNNNNNNNNNNNNNNNNNNNNNNNNNNNNNNNNNNNNNNNNNNNNNNNNNNNNNNNNNNNNNNNNNNNNNNNNNNNNNNNNNNNNNNNNNNNNNNNNNNNNNNNNUGGUUCAUGAUGAAUUCGCUCUGUAGAUGUACCAUUACUCAUAUUUCUAGCCUCUUGCAAGUCAUCAUUUUGUUAAUCACGGUUUUUUAUGAAAACUGAAACCUAUCACUUUCGGUCCAUAUGAAGCAAAAGAAAGUCUUGCAGUAUGUUGCAAUUAUAUUGUGAUGAUUGGCAGGGAAUAACUUAAGUCUUUGAAAUUUGGUACAUGUUGUCGUGCAUCGAUUCAGCCCCAUUGUGCCAUCAGAAUGACUUGGAUUUACAAUUUGUAAGCAGAACUCAUGCUUCUUACUACCCCUUCCAGCUCUAAAAUACAUAUAUGUUUUUUUUUCUUAUUUUGUACCGCUAAACUAUGUGUGCUAAACAAAGCAUGUCGUAUUAUUUUCAGAUAAAUGAUGAUGUAGUUAUGCGCGCCAUCCAAACAAUACACACGUGGUUCCCAAAUUGGAGCAUAUAUUUCCGUGAAGAUCUUGAAGUAUGGUCUUUGCUUUCUCUUCUCACAUCUGCCAUUUAGAAUUUAUUUCCCUAUUUCUAUCACAUAUGCACUGCUUUACCAAGAUCCCACUUUGAUUAACGUCGUUCUAUUAUACUGGAUGUUUAUUCGCCUGUCACAAUGGCAUAUCCAUGUUGUUUAUAUUGUUUGGUUUGUAUUUCAUGCACGGAGUGACUUGGUUGUUUGCCGCCGUCUCCACUUGGUUUCCUCCAUGUUUCGAUCUGGUACCUCCACUCCUCACCACCUUGCUUGCCGUGCGAGCGUGUGGGUGUGUGUAUAAGUGCAACGCUUGGUUUGGUCAGUCGCUGAUUCCUCCGAACAAUUGGACUAUUGGGUGCUCAAAGACUUUAGGGGGUAGGACGGAUCCAACAAUGCAAGGAAUCGAUCAGUGGAAGUGUGGCACUCCUCAGAGCUCAGGCCUUCCUGGCCGUUGGAUCAGUUUGUUGAUGCGUUCUCAGCCGUGCAAUCUUGCCUUCGGAUGACUUUGGUCGUCGGAUCAAAUCCGAUUACUGCUACAAUGAGUAGUGAUGGAGACAUAGAACCUGUCAUCAUUUUGUCGGACUAAUUAUGGAGUUACUUGUGCAAGUUACACCAUCAGCAAACACAUGAAGACCUGAAUGCUAUCAUUGCAAGUUGAACAUUUACAUGCUCCAAGUCAAUCUGUUAGGGAGAAAACAAAGGCGUGUGUGCCUAUUAGUAAUUUUUUGUUUUAUCAUAGUGGGCACCUUAUCUGUCUGUAACAUGUGCCCUGUGCAACUGCAAAAGUGUUGGACAAUAAAAAUUCUGUGUAACACAUGUUCCUAUACACUCUACCUACGGUUAGUAUAGAAACUAUGCAUAGUUGUUACUCUUUUGGUGGCCUUGUGUAAUAUAUAUGGCAAAUAAAUUAUCAUGAACUAUUGAGCCUUUCACUUUUUCUGUAACAUACUGAACCUUUGCACUAUUGCUUUCAUCGUAUAAUCGUAUGAGAUAUAAAAUGUUUCAUAUCAGGUUGGAUAUAGCUGAGGCGGGUGGGGUGUGGCAAGCCGCACUUCCUAUCUAGUUAUGUAUGACUGUGGAAUGAGUUUGAACCCUGCAAUGGACUUGGGCCAGGUUUGAGAUAUUUUCCACUGAGCUAUGCUCUUCUUUUAUCAUUCGACAGUUAACAUGGAUAUUUAUAUUGCAGCCCUGAUCAGAGUUGUUGUUCAUUAUAGUAAACGGCGGAAUCAUAUAUUCAUUAUUCAUAUCUGAUCUCUAUCAUCAUCUGACAGAUUGAAUGCUCCUUUAUACAAGGAAUUGGCUUCUUCAUAAACAAAGAACACGGAACGAAACAAACACUGAUGGAAUGGUUGUGAGCGAUAGCACAUGGGUAUACAAGAUCCCGAGCAUCGACACCGUCCCAAAGCAGUUCAAUGCCGAGGUGCUCAACACCGGAUACCACAAGAACCGCGUGCUCUCGUCGAAAGGUAGAGAGUGUGAUCUCUUUCCCUGGAGCAACAACAUGAAUAUAUUUCACUUGUUUGCAUGAAAAAUAUCAUUAGUUAUUAAGGUAAUCAAACCACGUUUGCCUCUGUCAGCUUCGGGGGAACCUGCCUUGGUUCUCGCAUCAUUCGUCCAUUGCGUGGUGAGAGAAGCCAUCCGAGCAGUGAGGAAGGAGUUUGGAACGCUCGUGAAAGAAAUGUGUCGUUGCAUGAUGCAAGAUUCUGGUGGUAUCAACCAGAAGGAGCGGUGUGGCGUUCUCAUGUUGCGCAGCAUCGAAUGGCAAAUCAUAGACGUGAUGUUUGAAUGUUUGUAAUGUCCAGUGUUGUGCUUGCACACUUUUCUAAUAACUAAAAACAAAGCUUGUGAUUUAUAUGUCCAUAAUAAUGUGAUUUUGUAAAUAAAUGUUUAUUAAAUUCUGCCAUGGAUUACCUUAUAAUUUUGAUCAGAAGUUUGGUAAUUAAAUUAAAGUGGAAUUGGUUAAGAAGGUAAUUAAAUUAAUUUGAUUGAUUAUCAUACAUAGGGGUAGUGGGAAGAAAUGUAAAAUGAGAACCUUACAUUCUUUUUAAGUAGUAUAGAGAAGAGAAGAUAGAGAUAGAGAUAAUUCCAGGUUGAGAUUUGUGUUUGUAAGUCCUGACUGAACCUAAAGGCGGUGCCAGCUCCCAUGCUAGCUGCUCGCAUGCCACUUGGAAUGACUCGCUCAAUCUAACACUUUCCCUUUGGCUCCCCUUCCCCCUCCCUCGCCGCCGGUCCUCGGCCCCUUGCCCUCCCUCUCCCCUCGCCGCCGCAGGGCAAAGGAAGAACACUGAAGUUGAAAUCAGUAAAGAAGUAAAGAGUACUUCUCAACAAAAAAAAAGUAAAGAGUGCCCAAAAGGGUACAAACUGAUAACUAGAUAAAGAGUACAGUGGCAAAAUGAAAUUAUCAAAGGUCAAAUAGCAAAUGAAACAAGCAAACAAAGUACCAAAUAAGAUAAGAAUUAUCACAGCCAUUCAAGACAAAGGAAGAACAGAAAAAGAAUGAACAGAAGACAAGAAAAAGAUCAGUUCAAAUUUCAGAUGUUGAAGGUCAUUUUUAUUCAAGUAUAUCCAUUGGGCGACAGGCGCAGAGUUGGCCUGUUUAUAAAAAGUUACUCCCUCCAUCCCACAAUAUAAGAUCGUUUCUCGAAAAACGAUUUUACAUUGUGGGACUGGGGGUAUUAAUGGUACUUCUGCAAAACAUGAGAUCAUAAGAGGUAUAUGCUGGCAUAUGACAAUAUGGUUGUUCUCCACAUAUUUUGGCUUCUAAAAGCAUUAAAAAGGUCAUCGACAAAAGGCUAACCAUCCAAAUUGUAAUCUUUGAGGCCAGUUAGCAGCUGCUGUGCUGUGCCAAAACAGUAGAAAAGAUAUUGAUAACUUCCGACUUCAAUGUGCAUCACUGCCAAAAGAACCAGUAAAAAUUUAAUGGUGUAGUAAAGGAGGACAUGCACAGACAGGAAAAGAGGGCAUGUUUGGAACACAGAAAUGGGAAAAUUUUGCUGCAGAUCAUGUUUCACACAUUUAAAAGGGAGUGAACACAUUCAACCACUACCAGUAGUAGGACCAGAGACCACCAGAGUGAGACGAGCUUAAGCAAAAGCCCGAAUGCACCGAAUUGGCACCCUCCAUGGACCACAAAAUCAUGAGAAGGCAAACUGAACACCACAUGAGGUGAUUUGUGCGUAGCUGCUCUUAAUGAGAUAGGCGAAUGCCAAACUACGACAAUUUAUCAAACUAAACAUAAGAAGGCGACAGGAAUAAAUCAACAAGGAGCCAUAUCAAUAUUCCGUGAGAAUGAAAAGAUCCCAAAGGAGGGGAGAGCACAUUUUUAUACCCUCAGCUCCUCGGUUUAUGUCAGCCAUGUUUGAUCACCAAAGCCCAAGCCAGCCAGCCAGCCAGAUAGAUGAUGCAAAGGGGUACCGAUUCCCACCCCAAACCACCAACCCCUGCUGUUUCAGCCAGAACCCUUCCUCAUUGCUGGGGCUUGGAAUGGCAAGCAUCGAAGGUUAAAGUUAACAAGGACAACACUAUCAAAUGUCAAUACAAGAAAAAAUGAUAAUGGAGGCAAAAAUAGGAACAAAAAAACUGAACAAUAGCAACAAUAAGAAACUGCUUUUAAAUUGGUUCAAUGAAAAUAUUUCACGCCAUCUUACCUUCGAGAAGGUCCACAAAAAGAACCAGAGCCAUAGGUAACGCCAGGUUCACUUUUCAAGCUACAGGCCCACAAUGUACAGAAGAGUACAUACGACUUAAUUUUCAACAUGAGAAAAACACACAAAAGCUGUUCAGGAAAAUCAAGCUGUUUUUUAGAAUACUCACUGAUCCAAUUACUAUAAUAAUCUGACAAAAGAAGUAUAAAACACAGGUAUCAUAACAAACACAUGGCGCACAAGGAAUAGUUCACAAAAUCAAGGAAAAUUUUGGAGUAUUGUUUGAAUGGCUCAGAUUUACCCCACCAUGAAUCACCGAAGUUGGAAAAUGCUUGAGAUAGUAAAACAACAACAAAGCCUUUCAGUCCCAAACAAGUUGGGAUAGGCUAGAUCUGAAACCCAUAAGAUACUGAAACCUACUCAUGGUUCUGGCACAUGGAGAACUUCCAUGCACCUCUGUCCAUGGCUAGUUCUUUGGUGAUAUUCCAGCAAAAAAAAACCUCUCCCUCUUUCUUCACCCAGCAACAAAUAGCCACAACUGGUAACAUGCUGCAGAGCAAGGCCUCCUAGUUUAACGACUAAUUGUCUAGCUGAGUAGAGUUGAACGGAACCAACCUAGGAGAUGUAAAAACAUCUCCAUCUCAGGAUAUGGUGAAAGAUCUCCAGCACCACAAGGGGCACAAAAAUCAUCAUAGCCAUACAGUAAAGAAUAGAACGCAUCAACACACAAUGGAAACAAAUAUGCUGUGUCCAGAAGUUAAUUCGGACUGAUGGUCGCAUUACUGCAAUGAAAGAAGUAACUGACAUUUCUUCACUUCGGACAAAAGGAGUCACUGCAGGCCAAAUAAAAACAGGAUAACAUAAAUUUUCGUGUUUGAACCAGAAGAAAAACAUAAACUUGCCAACCAGGUUAUCACAGCACAGCAUCAACCAAAUGGGAUCCUUUACCCCAAACAGAAAAGGGGAGGUGCCGCUCGCUUGUUUAUCCCAUGAAAAAUGGGGUUCCAAUGCUAAAUAAUCAGGUAUGUGACAUUGGACAGUGGCAUACUAUUCCACCAUGAAACCAAACACAUAUCAGUCCAACCUUUGGCAAAACGAAAACAAAACCAAAGAACACUGAAUAAAUUUGAAAAUAUAUAAGAUACAGAGAAGGGAGACAAUGGCUAAUAUACAGAUCCCAGGUGACCCAAGCAAAAGCACCAAGAGCACCUUCAAUCAUGAUUAGACAAAAUAUAAAAUCUUUUUAAACAAACGAAUGCAAUUGACUGGACACUCAUUUUAAACAACCUGCGAGGAAUCAGUUCCUCGCUAAUGAAUCAAAAUGUGGCAAGUUGACAGCAGCAGCUUAAAAAGAGACUAAUGACCAGCAAAAUAAAUACUACCGUGGUUGUUGCCAACGGGGAUCCCCCAUUCCGAAAGGUAACGGGACCAGCCCUUAGGUCCAAAGUUGUAUGCCACUGCUGUGGUGCUGAUAGAUUCACUACUGAAGCCCCGUUAUCGGACAUUGCAGGCUUAGCAUCUAUUUUUCGUAUAUCGCUCCACCACACCGAGAAGUCUGCUCUGACCAAAAUAAAACUAACGCAGUAUGAGCUUCAGUUCUAAGAAAACGCAGUUAUUGCUGAUCAUAACUUUGUCUUUGAAGAAGCAUCUGGCAGGACAAGACAAGCAAAACAACAGCUUCUCGUUAACCACAUGAAUAGAACAGCCAAUAGCUAAAAACAUUGGAGAAAAAAGGACAAUCCUGUGAUACACAAUCCCUCCGUCCCAUAAUAUAAGAGCGUUUUUUACACUAUAUGUAUUCCCUCCAUAUAUUCAAUGAGAGCUCAGGUGGAGAGGGAUUCAGAAUUAAGGCAGCAGAUUAGGGUGUAAUUGCAUGCGUACCGAUUCAAGCCAAAAAGCGGAACUGUAUCGUGAAAAAUCCAUCGCGGCAGCUCAGAUCUCAGGCCUCCUUUGGUUCAUAGGAUAGGAAUAUCAUAGGAAUAGGAGCCAUAUGAGUUUUCCCAUAGGAAUCAUAUCCUAUAUAAUUCCUACGAAAUUCCUGUAAACCAAAGGAGGCCUCACUGUGGACAGCCGACUUCCCAGGCAUGAGAGGCCACACAGGGUCCCAAUCUUCCACGAUGCCCAACCCAAAACCGCCAGCCCCUGCCGUUUCAGCUGCGGCAACUGCCCGAGGAGGGUCCCAAGCCAAUGCAUCAGUGCAGUGGGCCUGAACAGGAGGGGUGGCCCCAUGAACCAAAGCUCCAAGGCCACCACCAGGGCUAGGGAUGAUGUCUGGGAAGUUUUGUAAGGACAAUGAUGGCAAGCAUCAAUAAUGGUAGUUAAGGAGGACUAUUAUACCAAUGUCAACACAAGGAAAAGUAAUAAUUGGAUGGUAAAAAGAGGGGGGAGGGGGGGUGUUAACAGUAGCAUUAAAAAACUGCUUAAAAUUGGUUCACUAUAAAAAGACUUCACAUCCUCUCACCUUCCCUGAAGGCCAGAAGGUCCACAGACAGAAGGAACCAGAGCCAUAGAUAGGCGGGUUCACUUUUCAAGCUACAGCCCGGAGUGUAGAGUAUAAACGACUUAAUUUUCACCAUGGGAUCAUGACCAUUCACGAUUGCCAACAAGAUAUAGUUUAAAAAAGGCUGUUUAGGAAACCAAGCUGUUUUCUGGAGUAUAUUUCAGAAGUACCCAAUCCUAAAAUUUCUAUAAUCAGGCAGAAGUACAAGUGCGAAGUGUUAGACUCACGUACCAUAACAAAUACAUGAGGAAUCCUCUACUUCUCAAUAGCUACAACCCACUAGCUAAUUUUUAAUAACAUGCAGCCAUGCCACAACAGCACGUAUGGAUGUCAAUCACAAAUCAUAACUUACAUUUAUUUACAUCCAAUUCACGAUCUAAUUUUUCUAAGCAUGCAACCAUGCCACCUAAGGACCUAUGCAUGUCAAUUAUAAGUUGCACCUUUUUGCAUUAAUUUAAAAAUGAAACCGCGCCAUAUUACCAAGCGAUACAUGUCGAUGGCGUUGAUAAGUUAUAUUUUUUGAAUUGUAACAUGUCGACGUCGUUGAUAGGUUACAUUUGUUUAAUUGACUUUUAUAUUGUCAUAUACAGCAUACAUGGUGGAUACUUGAAGCCUAUCUACGUAGUUCAUGAUUUGCACUUUUUAUAGAAACAAAAUGGCAUGUUGCUACAAUGUAAGUCAAGAAUAUUAUUAUUAUCUUGCAUCAGUUUAGUUGUUUUCUAGCACCUAUUAAUACAAUUAUUUUAACGAGGUUCCCACGGCAACACACGGGGGCCAGGGCAUCAUCUAGUAGUUCACAAAAUCCGGGAAAUUUUUGGGGAGUACUACUUGAAUGAAUGGCUCAGAUUUACCUGCCCAUGAAUCACCUUAGUUGGACAAUGCUUCAGGUAGUACCAUAAGGAAUAAAACCUCUCUCUCCACUCAGCAACAAAUAGCCACAACUGGUAACUUGCUGUAGAGCAAGGCCUCCUAGUUUAAUGAUUAACUGUCUAACUGGGCAAAGUUGAAUGGAACCAACCUAGAGACGUGAAAGUGUCUCUAUCUCAGGAUAUGUUGAACGACACCAUGGGGCGGAAAUCAUCAUAGCCAUUCAGAAAAAGAAUAAUUAACAACAACACACAACAGAAACAAAUAUGCUGUGUUCAGAAGUUAAUAUGGAAUACUGCACUGAUGGCCGUAUUACCGGCAAUGAAAGAAGCAAUUGCCAUUUGUUCACUUCAGAUAAAACGAGUGACUGCAAGCCAAAAUAAAAACAGGAGAACAUGAACUUUCUUUUUUGCAACAGAAGAAAGCCAUCAACAGGGUUAGUGCUGCAGGUUACAGUGAACAUAAUGUAAACGAGAAAUAGAAUUGUAGAUUCAGAAUUUAAAAAAAUAUAAUUAAUAAAUUAAUAGAUCAAAUGUAAUUAUUACAAUUGCUGAUGCUUGCGGUGCCGUAGUGCAGCAAAUACAUGAAUGUAAGACCUUCCGCAAAAUAAAAUGCGGUUACGACUAAAUGGGAAUGCUGAGACAAAAAACAGAACAUGCAUAACAAAGGACAUACAGUUGCAAAUAAUAGCAUAGUUUGAUGAAAAGAUGUGAAAUCCUGUUCCUCUUUCUAGGCCCUUCACAACACAAUUUUUUUAUUUAUUCAAACAAAGUAGUCCUUAAUGAUGCAUCUUUAUUUCAAAGCAUUCUGCUGUAAGCAACCAAACUGUUAAGUGGAUUCUUAAUUCCAUGUAAUCUCUCUCCACACUGUUAAGUGGAUUCUUAAUUCCAAUGUUUAACAGUAAUUGUUAGCCGCUAAACCGGUUACUUGUUGUGACACAAGGACUCCUAGAGUCUUAGUUUAGCAUCUACUGAACCAAUUCAGGUAUUAGAUAGAAGCACCCACAUGGAAGCUAUAUCAUCGCAGCCAUUCAUGAACAUGACAUGAAGGAAACAGUAAUCUUGACAUCUGAACUUGCCCUAUAUGACCCUUAAGAUGAAAACCAGUAAAUAAAUGAGGAGUGCCCAAAAGUACAAACUGAUAACUAGAUAAAGAGAACAGUAGCAAAAUGAAAUUAUCAAAAGUCAAAUAGCAAUUGAAACAACCAAACUGAUACAGUACCAAAUAAGAUAAUUUCAAAAAAUACCCAAGGGCAGCAUUAUUAUCACAGCCAUUCAAGGAAAAAUAAUAACAGAAAAGAAAAGGCCCGGAUGCACCAAACUGGUUCCCUCAAUGGACAACAAAAUCAUGGCAAGGCAAACCGAACACCACGAGAGGUGAUUUGUGCGUAGUUGCUCCUAAUGAGAUGGCCCAAUGCUACAACCACGACAAUUCAUCAAUUUAAAACAUAAAAAUGCAAUAGGGAUAAAUAGAUGUGUAGAGGGCACAGUAUUAGUUGCAUUGAGAUUUGAGAGGGCUCAGAUUCGCCUUUGAUAGAUCAUACAACCUGGCUCCAUCUUCUUUCACCAGAUCAACCCCCACCACUGAGGUCGAGCUCCUCUGGUUAUCACUCAGCAGAAUGACCAUCCAAGACAGAGCCGUCAAUAUUCGGUGAGAAUGAUAAGGUGCCAAAAGAGGGGAGAGUAGGUUUUUGAAGCCCACAGCUCCUCGAAUAAUCGAAGACAAGUUUAUGUCAGCCAUGUUUUAUCAUCAUCGCCUCAAAUAGAUAGACAGAUAGAUGGAUGGAUGGGUCGAUGGAUAGAUGGAUGGAUCGAUGGAUACAGGGGGUUAGAUUGUACUGAAGUUUCGGACAUGGUUCAUUUGUGCGAACCUUUACAAAAAGGUCAAAACAGUGAUUUCGGCAGCAACAUGACCAUAGUAUCCAUACAUCCAUACAUACAUGCAUCCAUACAAACAUGCAUGCAUGCCAGAAGUUGGCUGUACUAUUAACCAUGCUCUCAGGAGUUGCUCAUGUCUGGCAUCAGCCGACCAGAGUACCAGACCUCCGGCUCGGACGACGCAUCAGACAACACUGUAUGGUUCCCAGCCCACGCCACAACCGAAUCCAAGGCAAUGGAAUGGCGGUGGCUGACGGCACCAUAGCGUUAGUCCACCCGGACCAUGGGUCAGCAAGUAGGCAAUGACAGCUUGACUGAUUUGUUGUAGGAUAUAUAUAUAUAUAUAUAUAUAUAUAUAUAUAUAUAUAUAUAUAUAUAUAGAGAGAGAGAGAGAGAGAGAGAGAGAGGAGGAG